UAACUCCAUGAUCAGUACUGUCUUGCCAACUCCAGCACCACCAAAAAGCCCUGGAAUAGGUUGAAAAGAAGCAAUAUUUAAGAAGUUCUGUGUUCCCAAAUAAGAAAACUUACAG